UACGUAGGGGGCAAGCGUUGUCCGGAUUUAUUGGGCGUAAAGAGCGUGUAGGCGGUUAGGUAGGUCCGUUGUGAAAACUCGAGGCUCAACCUCGAGACGCCGAUGGAAACCAUCUAACUAGAGUCCGGAAGAGGAGAAUGGAAUUCCUGGUGUAGCGGUGAAAUGCGCAGAUAUUAGGAAGAACACCGGUGGCGAAGGCGGCCCACUGGUCCGGUACUGACGCUGAGGUGCGAAAGCGUGGGGAGCAAACAGG
rnacentral:rRNA from 1 species